AUUUUUUGUCUCAUUUUCCCGCUCCUCCUUCCUCCACUUUCUUUCUUUUCUGGAGAGCGACAUUGAAGAAAAUUCACAGCAUACACACUCACCCUUCUUUGCCGCUCCGCCCUCCUAUGUCGCGACGCCGCUGCUCUCUACUCUUCCUCCUCCCCGCACCGCCACCGCGCUCUGCUCUCCUCCUUUCGCUUCAAGAACUCUGCAAAAUUAAUGAUAGGAGAUGAUCGAUAAAUACCAGCGAUGGUGAUGGGAAUAGCAGUAGAGAAAAAAAUUUGGAGCUUCUCAUACCAUCACUGACUCUUCCGGCAUCCAUGACGAUUCUGCUAAAUCUAGCCCUUCCGUUUAUUCUUCCCACCAUUUUGGGUGAAAGGUGAAGAAGGAGAGAUUGGGCAGAUUUGGGGUCAAAAUUGUGCGUUGUCGGACUCGAAUGGCUGACAAACCUCCUCCUAUUUACAAAGAGGUAUGAUUUUCAAUUCUCUGUACUAGGUGGUUUAAGAUUCUUUGUAUUAGAUGCUUUGCCUCGUUGAUCAGUGCCAUAUUUUUUUUAAUUUUUAAGCUAUGACAUGCGUACAUUAAAAUAAUUAACAUAGAGUUGAAUAAUUUUUUUUAAAAGUUGGACAGGUUCCUACUAGUAGUGAUGUUGGGGAACUUAACUAACACGGGACCGGAUACUCUAGUUCUUGAAGCGCCACACAGUGAUCUAUAUAUGAUGGUGACAGGAUUGUGAGAUUGAGAUUAAAAUUGAGAUUGUGAUAAUUGUUUAUGGGAAUUGAAGACAAGGAAGCGUAUGGUACUAAUGGUAGUAUCAUAGUAUAAGUUAUACAGUAGACAACACGCUCAUGAAUAUCUUUGUGCGUAGAGUCGUGUUCCCUUUGUACUGAACGUAUUUAUUUUGUCUGAAUGCAAGGCCAGGAAAUUUAUUUGACACCAACACUCUCGAAGAACACCCAACGAAAUAUUUCAUAAACAAAAUGGUGGUUGGUUGGUUUGGUGUCUCUAAUCUUAGCCUGAGUUGCAGAACUAGGUUGUUGUGUUUGUGUGUUGUGCUGCUCUCAAUACUCUGUUCUAUUCUUGUUGUCUUGCUGAUCUCCACUUUGUUGAUGGGUGAUAUUCUGUUUAUUCCAGUGCAUUGCUGCUGUUUUUGGGUGACUGCAAAUACGAAGAAGAGUUACAUGUAGCAUGUGGUGUGGUUAGUUUGUACAAAGCUACUUUAGACCUACUUGGUUUGACUUCUAUAGUUUUUGUUUCUUUGGGGUUUUUGGAUUGGUUUUAUAGUUCGGUUGACUAGCUUAGUUUUAUGUAGUUAUGGGCUUGUAGGUUGUUGCAAGGUCUAGGGUGUUUUUUUUAUUUGGUUGAGCUUGUACAAAUAUUUGGUUCACUUUUGGUUAAUAUUAUUUACUUAUUUACCA